AUUGAACGCUGGCGGCAUGCCUUACACAUGCAAGUCGAACGGCAGCACGGGUGCUUGCACCUGGUGGCGAGUGGCGAACGGGUGAGUAAUAUAUCGGAACGUACCUUAUUGUGGGGGAUAACGCAGCGAAAGCUGUGCUAAUACCGCAUAAUCCCUAAGGGGGAAAGCGGGGGACCGUAAGGCCUCGCGCAAUUAGAGCGGCCGAUACCUGAUUAGCUAGUUGGUGAGGUAAAGGCUCACCAAGGCAACGAUCAGUAGCUGGUCUGAGAGGGCGAUCAGCCACACUGGGACUGAGACACGGCCCAGACUCCUACGGGAGGCAGCAGUGGGGAAUUUUGGACAAUGGGGGCAACCCUGAUCCAGCAAUGCCGCGUGAGUGAAGAAGGCCUUCGGGUUGUAAAGCUCUUUUGUCAGGGAAGAAACAGCAGCUCUAACACAGUUUGCGAAUGACGGUACCUGAAGAAUAAGCACCGGCUAACUACGUGCCAGCAGCCGCCGCGG
rnacentral:rRNA from 1 species